UGGGCACCAAAACACAUAAGGUCUCCAUACCCCGUUCGGUAUGAGAGACCUGUUCCCGGUAGGGUUCCCUACAGACCUGGUCCGUCCACCAUCUCCCAGGAUAUCUAGUCAGGCUGUCCACAUUAUCCAACUUGCCUUUUUCCUUGAUCUCAAUCAUCCAAUCAUAUACAAUAUGUAAACCAGUAAUUGACACCAAAUAAGACAACACAGUAUC
rnacentral:lncRNA from 1 species